GCCUAAACCACAGCCCUAUCAUUCCCCAUGAAACACUUUACCCACAAAAAUAAAAUAAAACAUUCUUUUAACCAAGUAAAGGCGAUUAAAAAGUCAUUAGGAGCCCCAGAGCCAGUACCGCAAGGGAAAAAUGAAAUAAAAUGAAAUAAACUAAAAGCACCACAAAGUAGAGACUCCCCCUCGUACCUUUUGCAUCAUGGUUUAACUAGUUUAACCAAGCAAAACGAACUUUAAGUUUGACCCCCCGAAACUAAGCGAGCUACUUCAGAACAGCCUUACGGGCCAACCCAUCUCUGUUGCAAAAGAGCGGGAAGAUUCUUAAGUAGAGGUGACACACCUACCGAGCUUGGAGAUAGCUGGUUAUUCAAAAAAAGGAUAUAGUCCAACUUUAAACCUCAAUAUAGCCCAAAAUAUACACACAGGUUUAAAUUUUAUUCAAAUAGGGUACAGCCUACUUGAAACAGGAUACAACCUAUAAUGCAGGGUAAUGCUUCACUAUGUAAUUAAGUAGGCCUAAAAGCAGCCAUCUUACAAAAAGCGUUACAGCUUCACUACACAUAUCACUAAUCCUAAUUAAAACCCAAAACCCUCCCCCCAUAUUGAAUGACUCCAUAUUUGUAUGGAAAACCCUAUGUUAAAACUAGUAACAAGAAUGUAUUCUCCACAAAGCACGUGUAAGCCGAAAUGAACCACCCACCGGCAUUUAUCGCCAAUGAAUAGACAAUAGCAACACCACAAGAAAACCCUAUUCCCCAUCAGCGUCAACCUUACACUAGAGCUUCCCUGGAAAGAUUAAAAAAUAGAGGAAGGAACUCGGCAAAUAGCAACCCCGCCUGUUUACCAAAAACAUCGCCUUCUGUGAUUAAUAGAAGGUCUAGCCUGCCCAGUGAUAAACUUAAACGGCCGCGGUAUUUUAACCGUGCAAAGGUAGCACAAUCACUUGUUCUUUAAAUAGGGACCAGUAUGAACGGCAUCACGAGAGUUGCACUGUCUCCCCCAUUUAAUCAGUGAAACUAAUCUCCUUGUGAAAAAGCGAGGAUGACCACAUAAGACGAGAAGACCCCAUGGAGCUUCAAACUAGCAUCACCUGCAUUAUUCCCACCGAUUAAGCUUAGCAGACCUGUCCCGCUAGUUUUUGGUUGGGGUGACCGCGGAGCAAAACAAAACCUCCAUGACGAAAGAAAUUAAUCUUCUAAUCAGAGAACCACCAUUCAAAGAAUCUAAAUAUUGACCUAAUUGACCCAAUACUUUUGAGCAACGAACCAAGUUACCCUGGGGAUAACAGCGCAAUCCAUUUUAAGAGCCCCUAUCGACAAAUGGGUUUACGACCUCGAUGUUGGAUCAGGGUAUCCUGGGGGUGCAAUCACUCCUAAAGGUUCGUUUGUUCAACGAUCAAAACCCU
rnacentral:rRNA from 1 species